GUCCGUGAUUAUACAGAUGUGGAAACGCCUUGCUCCAUCCCGAACCAAGAAGCUAAGCGCAUCGUGGGUG
rnacentral:rRNA from 1 species